rnacentral:lncRNA from 7 species
AAUAAACUGGUUUUGCUGUAUGCUGCAGCAGCACGUACGUGCAGUAUUAAUGGAAACAAGAACUAAAGCUGUACUAAGUGCCACGGUAUUGGAGGACAUAAUAUGUAAUGACCAAGAUUUAGGAAUACCUUGCUACAUAAAGUAGUAGCUCUCAUAGUUUUUAGUCCACUAUUCUGUGUUCGAGUCACAUCCUACCAGGACCAUUCUGACUGUGCUUUGAUGCUUUUCAGUACAGAUCUUGAGGCAUUCAUGGCAAAGCCUAGAGCACCCUGAGAAAUGAGGAAAAAGCAGCACCAGCUGAGGUAAGAUCCUCAUCACUUUGGUGAAAGCUGCCUCACUCACUCAUGCCCUGUGGAAGCCUCUGCCCUUCUGCAGCUGCUUCAGGACCCUGAAACUGCUUCUGCUGAGAUCCUGUUCCUUUCACUACGUCUUGGGGAUUACAAUUACCAGAUGUUCAUGGGAGGUGUUCUGAGAGUGGGAUGUGGCUCCUUUCUUUCAAGAUGUAUGCCAGUAAUAUUGAUGAGAAUCAAUACAUUUUUACUAAGAAGACUAAUGGACAUUUCUUCAGAGACAGCCAAGGACCUAAAUAAUGAGCGUCUUCAACGAAGCAUGUUUAUCUAUGCGUCCUUAAGUCGUAAAGGAAUAUCUAGCUUCCAAAUGCCAAUACUAAAAAAAACUAAAGAAGGAGUCCAGUGGAGGGCCACAAAGAUGAUGAAGGGACUGGAGCAUCUUCUUUACGAGGAAAGGCUGAGGCACCUGGGACACAUUGGCAUGGAGAAGAAAAGGCUGAGAUGUUGCAGUCUCUUUCUAUGGAGAUACUCAAGACUUGUCUGGAUGCCUACCUAUGCAACCUAUUGUGGGGUACCUGCUUUGGCAGAGGAGUUGGACUCCAUGAACUUUUGAGGUCCCUCCCAACCCCUGCAGUUCUGUAAUUCUGCAACAAUAAGAAACAGUCUCCUCCUGGAUGGCUGUUAAAUGAAUCUAAUAAUGAAAGUAACAAAAAAGGUUGUGCAGAAAAUGAGAUACUCAAGGAAAGUGCUAGUUAUGAACAUGAAUGGUCAUACACCACCACAGGAAGGAAAACGGAUGUUCCUGAGUGCUUUAUGCUUUCCUUGAAAGGAUUCCAUGCAUGCAUUUUGUGAUACAAAGAAUAGAUCCUGUUGUGCAUCUUUCUUAAAUAUGUAAGAGCCAAUUGAAAGGUUGAUGUUAUGAUGAUUGGCUAUAAAAAUCCUUUCAAAAAUGCUAUUGCUACAGUUUUAUACUCAGAUAAAAUGCCUGGCAGAACUCUUUAAUUUACAUUAGAGCUUUAAAAGACAAGGUAAAAAAUAAAAAGAGAACUUGUCAAGGCCUGGAAUUUUAAUUUUCUGGAAAAAAUCUGCCAUUGUGAACAUUUUUUUCAUCAAGAAAUUGAAGUCUGCAGCUGGUGAAAAUCUUAUGAAUAGAAUGCCUAUCAUAUCACCUCCUAAUUAAUUUAUUUUGAUAAUUUCAUGUGGUGUGGCAACUUUUAAUUUAUUAUUUUACAAUCCAUUUCCAAUACUUUGACAUCUUUCUAAUUGGAAAACCAUAAUCCGUCCCAUUUGUUAAAAUAAAAGAAUGUACUGGUCUCAUGACACUAUGGAUUUUUAUUAUUAGAUAAUUGCCAAGAAAGUAAAAUGUUGUAUGUUAUUUGUAGCACUAUCAGUUCUUGUGAGUUGCCUUUUUUUUUGUUGUUGUUCUACAAUUGAAAUUUUUCAACCAUUUCUAAGUAUGAUAGUUAUUCACUUUUACUGAAGAUGAGAAAUUCAAAUAAUGUGGUGCUUUGUAUGCUGUGAAAAGGAACUGUAGGAACAAAGAAAUGAAAAAAAAAAUAGAAGUGAUAAUGAAAAUUACCAACUCUGUGCUUGAUUUUCUAGUACUGACUUGAGCAGAAGAUAUUUGCUCAUCUUCGCAGAUAUCACAGUGUGAUUUUUACAUUUGCCUUUGAAGUUCAGAAAAGUUUUUGUGACAGUUCUAUC